CUUUAGGCGGCUGGCUCCAAAAGGUUACCCCACCGACUUCGGGUGUUACAAACUCUCGUGGUGUGACGGGCGGUGUGUACAAGGCCCGGGAACGUAUUCACCGCGGCAUGCUGAUCCGCGAUUACUAGCGAUUCCGGCUUCAUGCAGGCGAGUUGCAGCCUGCAAUCCGAACUGAGAAUGGUUUUAUGGGAUUGGCUUCACCUCGCGGCUUCGCUGCCCUUUGUUCCAUCCAUUGUAGCACGUGUGUAGCCCAGGUCAUAAGGGGCAUGAUGAUUUGACGUCAUCCCCACCUUCCUCCGGUUUGUCACCGGCAGUCACCUUAGAGUGCCCAACUAAAUGCUGGCAACUAAGAUCAAGGGUUGCGCUCGUUGCGGGACUUAACCCAACAUCUCACGACACGAGCUGACGACAACCAUGCACCACCUGUCACUCUGUCCCCCGAAGGGGAACGCCCUAUCUCUAGGGUUGUCAGAGGAUGUCAAGACCUGGUAAGGUUCUUCGCGUUGCUUCGAAUUAAACCACAUGCUCCACCGCUUGUGCGGGCCCCCGUCAAUUCCUUUGAGUUUCAGCCUUGCGGCCGUACUCCCCAGGCGGAGUGCUUAAUGCGUUUGCUGCAGCACUAAAGGGCGGAAACCCUCUAACACUUAGCACUCAUCGUUUACGGCGUGGACUACCAGGGUAUCUAAUCCUGUUCGCUCCCCACGCUUUCGCGCCUCAGCGUCAGUUACAGACCAGAGAGCCGCCUUCGCCACUGGUGUUCCUCCACAUCUCUACGCAUUUCACCGCUACACGUGGAAUUCCGCUCUCCUCUUCUGCACUCAAGUUCCCCAGUUUCCAAUGACCCUCCCCGGUUGAGCCGGGGGCUUUCACAUCAGACUUAAGGAACCGCCUGCGCGCGCUUUACGCCCAAUAAUUCCGGAACAACGCUUGCCACCUACGUAUUACCGCGACUGCUGACACGAAAUUAACCCGGGCUUUUCUGGGUCCGGAACCGACCAAGG
rnacentral:rRNA from 1 species